AUGAAAGGAGUGUGUUGUGUGACCACAGUGAGACACCACCACUCAGUCCUCCGCAAAAGAGAUUCCUGCAUGAUUUCCCAUCAGCCCCCCCACCGCCCAAUGCGCCGACGACACACUGUGGUGGUCGUCCAGUGCAGAGAUGACACAUCCAGGCCCCUGACAGCCCACAACAGCCUAGUGUCCACAGCCGAGCAGGUAGCACCAGGGUUCAGAUACCUGGGAUCCACAGCCAGCUCCAGGGCCAAACUAAGCCAGGAUUCCUCCACCUCUAGCCAGGACGAGAAAGAGAAGCUGUCCUCCUCUUCCGCUUCAGGCCCCCAGGAACCUGCCCCCCUGUCAUCGUCUGGUCUGGAUCUCGGUAGCACCAAAUCUGAUGCCCUAAAGGACCAGGCCAGCAGUGCAUCAUCUCAACAUCAUUUACCUGCAGACAGCCCUUUGACCACGCCCACUGGUGUGAUGUCAUGGGGCGCAGUCAGGGGGAGAAGCAUCAGCAGCCUUGAGGAGACGCUUACAAAUCACAACCAAACAUUAGUUCAGAGCCCAGCCCCCAUGUCAACUAUUACCAUGCCCAGCACCUGUGACAUCAUAAGCAUCACUCCUGACACCAACAUGUGCCCUGCUCCCAGGACAACAGAGGAGGCUCCUGAAGAAUCUGAGAGCAGAAUCCUGACCCAUCCAGUGUCAAAAAAUUACGUGUCAGACUUGUCUGUGGGACCUGAUUCAUCCUCCUCUGUCCUGCCCACUUCUUCCUCUUCUCCUCUGUCAGAAAGACUCCAUCCCUCUCAGACAGGUUCAGGUUCAGGUGAUGAGUCGAUCAGUCUGCAGCAAUGUCAGCAGGUCAUCUCCGAGCUGCGACAGACGGCAAGACAAGCAGUACGCCUCUACCAGCAGCUUGGCGUGUUGCAUGAUGUUCAGAUGUCGUCUGUUCUGCUGGAGGGUUUUGAUGCCGUUCGCACGGAGCUGCAGGCGGUGUUGCAGGGGGACGGGCAGAGCAGCAGCGCCCCCUCUGGUGGACCUGAGGUCGACAGGACUGCUGCUCUCCUAGAGAAAUAUUCAGAGCUGCUGGUUCAGAUGGUUCAGAACAAACUGAACUGAAUCUGAACCACUAUCAAAGACUCUGCUGUUGCCGGCACAGGGGCUGAAAGAGUCCAAAACUCGCUUUGAGUACUGCUGUUCAUUCAGGUCCACAACUGACGCGGUUUAUAAAUAUCAGUAUUAUUUUAAUGCACCUUAUGCCUGAUUUUAUUUGUUUAAUAAAUGUUUAAUACGUCAGAGACUUUAAUAUUAUUUAUUCCACACUUCAAAUGUUUUUAUUUUCAGCUGCAUUAUUG
rnacentral:lncRNA from 1 species